rnacentral:piRNA from 1 species
UUCCAAAUUCACGAAAGGAUG